GCAAUUCUCCUGCCUCAGCCUCCCUAGUAGCUGGGAUUGCAGGUGUGUGCCACCAAACUCAGCUAAUUUUUUGUAUUUUAGUAGAGAUGGGGUUUCACCAUGUUGCCCAGGCUGGUCUCCAACUACUGAGCUCAGGCAAUCUUAAUGGCAGAGCAGGGCCGGCAGUAAAAAGGGCCAGUGGACAGGAAGAUGGAUCCGUAAAUGGUACGGAAUCUGAGGAUGUGAGAAAGAAAAAAAAGGAUGGAAUUUUAGGGAACCCUGAGAUGAUUUCAGAAGUCUAGCUUAUGUGAAGAGGAGUCUUGAGGGAGAAGGGGCAAAACACACACGAGGGACCCCAGGACACAGGAGACAGAGGAUGAGGCAGAAAAGAUAGUGAGGGAAUCAUGCUCAAAGUCAUCCCAAAUGGGGAAAGAUGCAAAUUGACAUAUUCAAGAACGUUAGUGAACCCCAAAUAG
rnacentral:lncRNA from 1 species